CCUACGGGUGGCAGCAGUAGGGAAUAUUGCUCAAUGGGGGAAACCCCGAAGCAGCAACGCCGCGUGGAGGAUGAAGGUUUUCGGAUUGUAAACUCCUUUUGUUAGAGAAGAUAAUGACGGUAUCUAACGAAUAACCACCGGCUAACUCCGUGCCAGCAGCCGCGGUCAUACGGAGGGUGCAAGCGUUACUCGGAAUCACUGGGCGUAACGGGCGCGUAGGCGGGAUAGCAAGUCAGAUGUGAAAUCCUAUGGGUUAACCAUAGAACUGCAUUUGAAACUGUUAUUCUAGAGUAUGGGAGAGGUAGGUGGAAUUCUUGGUGUAGGGGUAAAAUCCGUAGAGAUCAAGAGGAAUACUCAUUGCGAAGGCGACCUGCUAGAACAUAACUGACGCUGAUGCGCGAAAGCGUGGGGAGCAAACAGGAUUAGAUACCCUUGUAGUC
rnacentral:rRNA from 1 species